AUUUUUUUGGCAGUUGGCAGUGAUCACAAUGGUGAACUGAACUGCAAUGUCAGGACGUCCGUCCGCCCCCCUGCAUCGAGAUCACCCUUUAUGUUGAAAUGGUCAGCGCGUAACCCCUGGUGAUUAAUCCCCGCCUUCUUGACAGACUCAGACAUCCAUUCAAGCAGAACCCAAACAAAGCUGUCGACGGCAUUUUGCUUGAAUCAGAAUUCUGGUGUGGUCCAUUAACCUUACCCAUCUGCAUCUCAGAGAGAGAGGAGCGUAGCUGUCUGUUUCAGUGACUCUGUUUCUCAUUAUACUGGAAGGGCUGGAUGAGGCUUCGGGUGUGAGG